rnacentral:rRNA from 1 species
UACGUAGGUGGCAAGCGUUGUCCGGAUUUACUGGGCGUAAAGAGCGCGUAGGCGGUUAAGUCAGUCGAAUGUGAAAGCCCCCGGCUCAACCGGGGAGGGUCAUUCGAUACUGCUCAACUUGAAGGCAGGAGAGGGAAGUGGAAUUCCCGGUGUAGUGGUGAAAUGCGUAGAUAUCGGGAGGAACACCAGUGGCGAAGGCGGCUUUCUGGCCUGUUCUUGACGCUGAGGCGCGAAAGCUAGGGGAGCAAACGGG